UAGCCGCACUGCCGCCGUCUGCGCCCGACACUGACGUUUGCGGCGGCGCGCGGAAGUGACGUCAGGUCCCGUCGUCGCGUCGUGGAGGUGUUCCUUCUCGCUAACCUCUUCGCCCGGAAGUGGCAACAAGACUGCCACACCCCCUCACGCCUAUUCUGUUACAAAAGUUGUUUAACCCGGAGGCGGGGGAAGCCAGCUCCGCCCCUCCAGCUGGACGCCGGAGCGAGGUUGAGGUUCGUACCCCUGGGUUCUCUCCAGGCUUGAGGCCGAGAGCCAGCCGCCUGCCUACCUCUGGGCUUUGAACGCCGGGUCUGGUGACUUCGCUUAAAGACCUCGGGCCGAAGGCCCGCCAGGCUCAACCUCGGUUCACAGGACCCCCGACUUGUGUGAGUCGUACACCGCUCUUUACCGUCUCUGGACCUGGGUCAUCUCGGCAGUAAAAUGGGGUGAAAUGACCCGACCUCCCCGGAGGAUGCCGCGCACGAUGUGUGCCUCAAGUUGGCUUCCACUGACCUGAACUGUUAAGAAAGCCCUCCUCAGUGACGCCUUCCUUGAAUCCACAGUGGAGAUUGCCGUUUCCCUGGAACUAAUUCACCCACACUUACCCAUUUCAUCCCUUUCCACCUUUUAUUUCUACCUUUCUGCCCCACUGAUCUCUAGAAUAGGUGCUGUGAGACGUUAGAGUAUUUGAUCUCCCACUCCCCAGUCAUCCCACUUACCGAGCAGUAAUUCUCUGCCUGGCUGCACAUUGGAAUCGCUUGGGAAGCCUCUAAAAAUACUGAUGCCAGGGCUCUACCCCAAGCCAGUUAAAAUCUCCAGCGCUGGACCUGGGCAUUGGUACUUUUUGUAAAGCUUUCAGUUUACCAAGAUGAUGCCAGUAUAGCUAGUGAGAUGCAGCACACCAUCUUCAGCCCCCUCGCCUCUGGAAGAGACACCAGACUGCAAAGGGCACCGCGUACAGAAGCUAACGGAACUUGAAUGACAAGACAAAGAGCAGAACCAGUUAGUGUGACACAACAUUCUAACAUGCCUGAUUCUUACAUCAAAUAUGGUAACUUGGGGGUUGGUGGGGGGAGACAAACAAGGAGAAUCCACUUGGGAACAAUUUGAUGAAGUUUGCAAACCAGCACUUUACCCCCAAAUUAACAACUGCUUGUAUGGAAAAAAAAAUGCUCUUUUAAAAGUAUAUGGUUUGGACAGGUAUUUUUUUCUCUUGUAGUUUUUGUAAAAAAGUAUCAAAACCUUGGCUUUAAAUAUAUAUAUAUAUACGUGUAUAUAUAUGUAUAUAUACACGUAUAUAUAUACACGUAUAUAUAUAUACGUGUAUAUAUACGUAUAUACACAAGUGGCUUUUUAAAAAUUACUUUUUUAUAGCACAAAGUGUUUGUAAAUGCAGAGGGUUUCUGCUAAUUCUUGACUGUGCACAUGGUGCAUAGCCUGAAUGAACAGAGCUUCCUGAUUUUUUUUUUUUAACUGAAAAAUUGAAGCAGUAAUUCUUUAACCUUCUAAAUUCUCCAUACCCUAAAAAUACAGUGUGAGAAGUCUGUUACUCUAUCUUCAUGCAUUUUGGGAAAAGGAAUUAUUUACUCUGAAACGUUUAAUGCUAACUCAUUUAUAUUUUGUGAAAUGAUGAGUGUAUGGCUGGAGUUCGGGGGGUAGGGUGGAGAGGCUUGCAUUCCUGUGCCAUUUCCCCAUUCCCACCAGUGCCCAACUGGACAGUGACUGGUAUCCCCUCUCCAGACUCAACGUCUUCAACAUUUUCGUUUUUCUUUCUCACAGUUGAGAAAAUCUAAGAGGCUCUCGACAACAUGGCAUGCUUCUGUGAAAAUCCCACUGCCCUUAUAUUAGUCUUCGUUGACCAUAUAAAAAAUCUUUGACUCAAAUAUAUGAAAAGCAGUCAGCAUUUCCCUUUGGCCACUGGAAAGCUUGAGGCUGAAUAAUAUCAGUUCUGCAAAGUGCUGGCAAUGCAUCCUAAUGAAUUUUCCAUGAUGCAUUUAGUGCCUUGUACACAAUGAUCAAGAAAUGCUUCAUUGAAUCAGAAAUUAAUCUAACUAUUUUAUAAAGUGCUUACAUUGAACCUCUUUCCAUACAGCCUCAUUUCUUGCCCCCCUUGAGCCUUUUGUUCCUGUUAGAAUGAAGUGUGCAAUUCCUAAAGUCCCCAUGCUCUUUCAUACCUCUGUGUUUUAGCUCGAUGUGUCUCUGCCUGAAGCAGCUUGGAAUCCCCUUCUUAAUUUUUAAGACUUAAGGUCACUUCUAUGAUGACCCUAUUCUUCAUCUCCUUAGGUGGAAAGACCCCUCUCUCCUUUGAGCCCUAACAGUGCUCUGAAUAGAAUCAGUGCCUUUUUUGUUUCCACAUAUAUCUUCCUCCACUGCUACUGUGAACUCUGUAAAGUCAGAACAUGUGUGACUGACCUUUACAUCUGCAGUGCCAGGUGUGUAGUUGGUAUCCAGUGAGUGGUUUUAGUGAAUGAAUAUACUGUAGUCAUACUGAGAUAACUGGAGGGAUCAAUAGGACUUACUGCCAUACAUUUAAAUCCAAUCUCAUUCUCUUUUUGCCAGUUAACGGGUUACUUCAAUCUGUUUUAUAAAUAAUCCGUGCUAUCAAGAGUAAAUAAGUACAGUUUCAUUUUCUCUGUUUCUAGAAGGCAUUUCAGCUAGUGCCUUUGUAAUUCCACUGGAGGAAAGGUAGACCAUAGUAUAGGUAGCAGGUUUGAUACACUGUUCAGGCAGCCCAAAAUAGUCUUCCUGCGGAAGGAAAUGGAGGAAAAGCACUGGGACUGGCUUCUGAUAAAUUUUCUGCCCUCUUGGCAUUGUCUCUGAGCUUCCUUCCAGCUCUAUAGUCCAGUGACUCUGUGAUCUGUGAUUGGCUGUAGAUACCUAUGCAAAGGGGGCAAAAGGCAAAAGAUAUGUAACUAUACCUCAAAAUGAGGCUGAAAAGCCUCUAUGAAUGGGAGAAGGUGGAUCUGACUCCUCAGGUUUCAUCUUAUGUACUGCCAUCCAAAACAUGAAUAUUUCACAAUUUGUUUCUUGUAAAGGGUUGCUCCCAUUGCUGCCUCUUUCAAACUGCAGUUGUAGCAUAUGCAGGAAACAUGAAUGUCUCUGAGAAAAGUUGUGAAUUUCAUCAUCAUUUUGAGAUCUCAGGCUGUAUGUCCAGACCCCAUUCAUUAUUUUUUUCUGUGAAUGCCAGGAUCUGACUGAAAGUUUAGAAACUAUGCCUAAGCCACUGUUAUCAUUUAAUUCCUUGGAAAAUUCAGUUUCUUUGGAAGAAGGUUACAGAAAAAGUCACUUGUUUUGAGUACAUUUCCAUGUUUUUCACUGUCAUCAUUUUUCUUCAGUCAAAAAUAAUUUUACUUUCCGUUCUUAAAAGAAUAGUAAUAUGUGAGUAAGCUCCAUAGGAGUUGGCCACCUGUUCUUAAAAUUCUGUUUGGUAUUGGUCAUUCUAGGUCAACUGCAUUUACCCUCUCAAUGAAUGUUUCAGGACUAUCAACACAUGCAUGUCAUGAGGAGAUUGCUGGAUUAUGCAAAACACAGGUCCAACCUCCAGAAUAUAGUUAUUUUCUUAGAGUUUAGGAGGCCAAGAGUGACGCAGAGGAAGGUCCUAGGUACAGGAUGCUAGAACUCCAGAAUGUCUGACUGAAAAUUCAAAGGGUAUCAAGCUGGUGAGAUAUCCAACUUCAUUGAGUUGGGGGCAUCUGGCAGGUAGGGAUGGGAAGGCAUUUGCUUAAGUGUGUCAAGUUCCAGGUAUGAUGAGAUUAGAUGCAUCUCCUCUGCUCCUACUUAAGUCAAACACUUCCAUGUUGCACCUUGUCCCUGGUUGUCUAGUGGGAGUAAGUGGCAGAACAGCAGAGUUAAGAAACUCAAACUCUUUCUCUUUGGAUGGGAAAGCCAUUGGGGACUGAAUCCUUCUGGGACUAUAGGAUUAUGUUUCCAAUGGGAGACCCCACAAGUAGAAAAGAGCACUUCUCCCUUCCUCCCCCAAGGCCAGGAAAAGCAAAGAAGGUGUCUAUAAUGAAGAACAUCUAUACAUAUACCCAGAGUUUUUCCUUUUAUUUACAAAGCAGUAAACCAAAUUCCUGUGUGAACAUAAAUAUCCAAUAUACUAUGAUAUUGCGUAUGCCAUUUCCCCCCUCAAAUAUGACUUCAAUUUUGGCCAGUUGUUCUGACUUAAGCCAAAAAUUAGUUUCAUCUAUAUGAACAUAUGAUGGUAAGUAACCUAUUUAUUACCUUAAAAUGUUUCCCCACAUAAAGGAAAUGGUAGAGAGUGAGGGGAAAAGAGAAAUAAGAGAUGUAAUAAAACCUAUUCCACCAUCUUUAUCCUCAUCCACAGCAUAUCCUAGAUGUUCAGUGCCUGGGCCAGUCUCUAUAGUAAACUUGGGCUGUUCUGGAAACGUCUCCACUUAGCUCUGUAAGGAUGGCACCCUUCAGGGUGCUUCAGAGGAAACUUACUGAAUUCAACCCAAGUCCUGAAAGAAAUUGAAGAAGUUACUCAAAGAGCUGAACUUUAAAACAAGGAGUAGCUGAGGGUGAGGCAUAUUCUAUCUUGAGUUUCUGAGCACUCUGGUACCGUGGAAUGUCUGUACACUGACCUUCGCCAAAGCCAAGAAAGCCCUGGUAGGAGUCACAGCGGCCAUGGGUGAGCUGAAAGGCUUUUCCUGACUUCCUGGGGUCUCAGGAAUAGCCAGAGGUGAAAAGAUUUGCCUUUUUUACUACAUAAUUGCACAAACCAUGGUAUCUAUUUUCUGAGCCAGAUUUCCAAAGGCUUUUCUGAAAACUACAAGAUAUACCCCUUGUGGACUGUGUGAAAAUAAAUUUAUCUUUAUGUAUUUGAACAG